rnacentral:ncRNA from 2 species
AAUUGCCUUCGGGGACGGGUGGGAUUCCCUACCGGCGGUGUGGCGCAAUUUGUGGCCGAGCCCGCGAGCCCGCAAGGGUUGAUCCGGUGGAAAGCCGGGGCCGACAGUUAACGGGUCUUUUACAUUACAGGACCCUUAAAGUCUGGAUGGUAGAAGGUGGAU